rnacentral:rRNA from 1 species
AAACAAUAUAGCCUGCCCACUGAUAGUAUUAAAUGGCCGCGGUAUUUUGACCGUGCGAAGGUAGCAUAAUCAAUUGUCUUUUAAUUGAAGGCUGGAAUGAACGGUUGCACGAGAAAAAAGCUGUCUCUUUUUUAAAUCUUGAAUUUUACUUUUAAGUGAAAAGGCUUAAAUAAAUUAAAAGGACGAUAAGACCCUAUAAAGUUUUACGAUUUAUAUUCUGUUUAUCAAAAUAUGGUUUCAAGUAAAUUAGAAAAAGUUCGUUGGGUUGGGGUGAUCGAUAUAUAAAUAUAAGUAACUGUAAGUAAAAUAAAUAGUCAUAAUUAGAAAAAUGAUCCUUUUAUAAAGAUUGAAAGAUAAAGUUACUUUAGGGAUAACAGCGUGAUUUGUUCUGAGAGUUCUUAUCGAUGAAUAUAGUUGCGACCUCGAUGUUGAAUUAAAAUUUCUUUUAAGUGUAGCAGCUUAAAUAGUUGGUCUGUUCGACCAU